rnacentral:misc_RNA from 1 species
AACCUGCUAAAGCAAAACAACACGCGAACAUGUACUUACAUUCGGGGAUCCAAGUGCGUCCACUUCGGCGGAUGCUCUUUCUUCCCAACGUUGAGAUGGCUCGGUGUGUGUUCGCAUACCGACGAAGUAUUCGUUGAGAGUUGGCACUCACUGAGCUUUCUUGACAUAACAAAAACYCGGCGUGAACUGCGCCAAGGAACAUAAUAAGAGCGUGCAUUAUCCCGGUGUUUGCAUUUUUGCUUCACUCGGGAUGGAUGUCAUCUUCUUGAUGAGUUUAUAAUGACUCUCGGCAACGGAUAUCUCGGCUCUUACAUCGAUGAAGAACGUAGCAAAAUGCGAUACUUGGUGUGAAUUGCAGAAUCCCGUGAACCAUCGAGUCUUUGAACGCAAGUUGCGCCCGAAUCCAUCCGGUCGAGGGCACGUCUGCCUGGGUGUCACGUACACACGUCUCUCACAAACCUUUCCCUUCACGGGUGAAGGGUCUUGUGUGAGCAGAGUUUGGUCUCCCGUGCUUUGAUUGUGCGGCUUACCUAAAAAUUGAGAGCCAGUGAUGAAACUUCACGUCUAGUGGUGGUUAAGGAACCUUCAUGGGUCAAAACCAGUUCGCGGCGUGAAUGUUUGUCACUUGGAAAGUUCUCUAUCGACACCUCGAGCGUCUUUUAAUGACCGUUCUACUGUCGCGACCCCAGGUCAGGCGGGAUUACCCGCUGAAUUUAAGCAUAUCA